UACGUAGGGGGCAAGCGUUAUCCGGAUUUAUUGGGCGUAAAGAGCUCGUAGGCGGCCGUUCGCGUCGGAUGUGAAAGCUCAGGGCUCAACUCUGAGAUGCCAUUCGAUACGGGACGGCUAGAGGUAGGUAGGGGAGAGUGGAAUUCCUGGUGUAGCGGUGAAAUGCGCAGAUAUCAGGAGGAGCACCGGUGGCGAAGGCGGCUCUCUGGGCCUUACCUGACGCUGAGGAGCGAAAGCUGGGGGAGCGAACAGG
rnacentral:rRNA from 1 species